CAGCCGCCACGGUAAUACGUAGGUGGCAAGCGUUGUCCGGAAUUAUUGGGCGUAAAGCGCGCGCAGGUGGUUUAAUAAGUCUGAUGUGAAAGCCCACGGCUCAACCGUGGAGGGUCAUUGGAAACUGUUAAACUUGAGUGCAGGAGAGAGAAGUGGAAUUCCUAGUGUAGCGGUGAAAUGCGUAGAGAUUAGGAGGAACACCAGUGGCGAAGGCGGCUUUUUGGCCUGUAACUGACACUGAGGCGCGAAAGCGUGGGGAGCAAACAGGAUUAGAUACCCCUGUAGUCCCUGUCUCUUAUAC
rnacentral:rRNA from 1 species